GGCUUUAGCUCAGUGGUAGAGCAGCUGCCUUGCAUGCAGAAGGUUCUGGGUUCAGUUCCAGGCAGGGCUG